rnacentral:rRNA from 1 species
CCCCACACUCGCCGCCCCGCCCGCGUCCUCGCGUCCCAGCCCCCUCCUUCCUCUCCUCACGCGGUCGCGCCUCCCUCCGAACCCUCGAUCCGCGCCCGCCUCCCUGCCCCACGCCGCCAUCAUCUCCGCCGGCGCCCGACUCCUCCGCCGCCUCCUCUCCACCGCCACCGCGAAGGACCUGUAGAAAGCGGCACGCCCUGUAGGGAAGCGGGCGGCGCGCGCCGUCGCCCCAGGAUGCGCGCGGACAACUCUCUCGCGUUGACGCCCCCGCUCCCUCCCCUUCUCCUCGUCGCCUCCCCUCGCGCCGCCGUCGCCGUCCGAGAAGCACCGCGGCCACUACUACUCUGCGUCGUGCCGAGCUUGCCACCGCCGCCGCUCUCCCGGUCGAGCUCGUCCCUCACCACCGGCCCUCAAGUUGUGGAGGGGCAACAGGCAGCGGUGGACAAGGAGAUCUACCACCAACCGCCGCCGCCUGUCCUCCUGCUUCGCCAUCAACGCGAGGAGCACCGGAGCGUGUCCUCAAGUUUGUGCUCCUCCGGGAAGAGGACAACCCGAGAUCUGUCAUGGAGGUCAACCCUGACGUCGGCCUUGUCGGAUUGGAGCGGCAGUGCGGUGGCUGGUCUACUGUGGCGGCUCGCUGGAGGCAGCAGCGACCCAAUCGGCACCGCCAUCUCCUUCCCUAUCCAUGAGCCAACCUCUGUCUUCCUCCCCGACGGCGGCGUCGAACCAACACUGGGUUAUGCUACCCUUGGCCGUGGCCUAACACGCGCGGACUGAAGCGUUGGUCAGGCACCCACUGCUUGGCUGCACGUCUGGGUCAUCUCAGAUAAGCUAAUCUAUCUCUUCUUUAAAAUAAGAUCAUGUGCUUCUCUGAUCCGGUUGUAGUAAGUUGUACAAGGCCUUAGCUGGUUGUCAGGAGGAACCUUCACCUCAUGGCUAAAACUUGGGUAAAACCGUGGGCAUACAAAAUACAUCUUUGUUUUUUUUGCCUUAUAAACAUGGCCGUGAAAGAACCGAAUAUUGGAAAACAACUGUAUAUCAAUUCUCACUUACUCUGAUAUUUCUGAAAGUGAAAGGGAUGAAGGAUAGUGUAGUGAGCAGAGAACACACAGGUUAUGUUGAAAAUUUUGGUCGAAGUUACAGUCCAUUAGCUGGCAGAAAUAUAACACAACUAGCAUGCCUAGAUGCACACAACGUUGAUGGUAAUAAGAUAUGCUUGACAACUAACUAACAAAAUCAGAUUAUUCAUUUCAUAAAUGUAGAAAAAAAUAAGUAUGGUCUUCACAACGUGUCUUCUUCUAUGAUUCGGUAACUUGCAUUCCAAUCUUAUUUGUCUUCUUUUCAUUGGGCAUGGUGUAUUUAGGUUAUCAAAGGGGAUUGUGUAUGGCUGUUGACAAUCCAGAUUGUGGGCAGCUAAGAGAGGGGAAAACUUCUCUGUUCUGUCCACUGCCUACAUACAAGCUGCAUGACAAAGGGUAUGUGGAAGACUGGAUUUGAUAUUAUCAUGGAAUUAUAGCUAUUAGCGUGUUCCUGGCUCUCGUUUGCUGUUAUUCCUUCAUAAUUGCAACAAAUGGCCUAAGCGUUGGACCACCGGGUGGAUAGGGCAAGCGUGUGAUGUGCCAGGGCGUAAUCUGUGUCGCUGCUCCGCAUAGAGGAGCACACCAUCGAGAUGGCCCAAAAUGGAAACACCGUAGGCCACAACUCUGGUGGGGGCCUCCAUGGUUGCUGACGACCAGAUGCCACCAUGGUCUCCGAUGUCGUCAUGGCCCUUGCCGCCAGCCCACAACACAGUGCCGAGCAGGGGGUGUGGCCGGCGGUGGUCAUUGAUAUCUUCAGCAGCGUCGGGUGUUGGCCACUUGCGCUGGUGGCUUUCUCCCGCUUUUGGUAUGACUGAUUAACAGAAAAAAAAUCGUGGCCAUUGGUCACCGCUUUUCAUCAAGAUGAUUCUGUAUCAUUGUAAUAGUGAGACUUUACUACACCCAUUCUGUCGGUAGAACAUUCUCUUAGGAGAUUGUUUUAUUUGUUUUGGUUGAGAUAUACUAAAGGCUGUGUACCUAUGGAAAGAAAAAAUACACUUUCAAGUUUUGUAUGUAGUACUUGAUGUAUGUCUCAAGUAUAACUUAUAAUGAUCCUACUCUUAGUACUUGCUCUCUCAUGUUUAUGCUCUUAGUACUGAAUUUAGUGUCAGGUAAUUAGCUUUUGUGAUCUCAUGAACAGACUGAACUUGAUGCGGCCUUAUAAUCCCAUGACCAUGUUGAAAUUGAUGAUGUCUUGCUUCUCAUACCAGUGAAUGUUUCUUCGUUCUCUUGGACCAGGUAAGUCAUUGUCCUGUUGAAUAUGAGCGCUAAACUAUGCUCCCUACUAAAUUUUUUAAAGGUGCUCCCUACUAAUUUGAUCACUAUCUAUUUUACCACAUUGAUGCGACAGGCACCCCGCGCCAAGGCGCGCUGUCGAUCUAGUAUGUGUUAUCGUGCGUAUCUUCAAUGACUUCUCCCUCAUCUUACUUGAGGUUGCAUACUCUGUCGCGGAGGACAUUAACCAGUUGCGUCCCUCCUUUGCAUACAUGCAGCUGCGUGUCUUUUUGGAUGUAAUCUGGUUGUAAUUUCUUUUUUUCUCCGCUUUCAUCUUAUAAAUAACAUUUGUUCUUCUUUUCCUAUAUUUUUAUCCUAAAAAAUUAAAGGUCAAGCUUGAAUUAAUAAGUCAAAGUCAGAGCUGAUAAGCAAACAACUAUUGGAGGGAGUAUUAUUAUUAUUAUUAAACAAGAGUGGAAAGGAACGGGAACGUGUUACAGAAUUGUGUAAAUCCUGCUCCAUACAUAUAUGACGAGUUCAUC